CCUACGGGCGGCAGCAGUGAGGAAUAUUGGUCAAUGGCCGGAAGGCUGAACCAGCCAUGCCGCGUGAAGGUCAGUGCCCUAUGGGCGUUAAACUUCUUUUGUGCGGGAGCAAUAAUGGUCACGUGUGGCCAGACGAGAGUACCGUACGAAUAAGCAUCGGCUAACUCCGUGCCAGCAGCCGCGGUAAUACGGGGGAUGCAAGCGUUAUCCGGAUUUAUUGGGUUUAAAGGGUGCGUAGGCUGUGAGGUAAGUCAGCGGUGAAAUGCCCCCGCUCAACGGGGUGAAGUGCCAUUGAUACUGCCUGGCUGGAAUGCGGAUGCGGUGGGAGGAAUGUGUGGUGUAGCGGUGAAAUGCAUAGAGAUCACACAGAACACCGAUUGCGAAGGCAUCUCACGAAUCCGCGAUUGACGCUGAUGCACGAAAGCGUGGGUAUCAAACAGGAUUAGAUACCCGGGUAGUC
rnacentral:rRNA from 1 species